GUACUCUGGUUUCUCUUCAGAUCAUAUAAAUCUUUUGCCUUUUACUAAAGAUUUCCGUGGGGAGGAACAGUUAUGAGUCUUUAUCCAAUUUUUUUGAGGCCUUGUGUUUCACGAGGCU
ensembl:snRNA U5 U5 spliceosomal RNA